GAAACACGGACCAAGGAGUUCAACUGAAUUACAAGUCGUAGAGUAUUGACAACACUCAUUAUAUACGGCAAAGCGAAAGCAACUUAUUACUCACGUAUGAUCCCUAUUGACACGGGUGCAAUACAAUUACAUUAUGUUCAUGCGUACUCGCUUAUGCGGUGUGCGUAUGCGUAUACUCGUUAUACGAAUAAUGUAAAUUCUAAAGAGUAUUUUAGUUGAGACCCGAAAGAUGGUGAACUAUGCUCGGACAUGGUGAAGCCAGGAGAAAUCUUGGUGGAAGCUUGCGUUGUGCGGAACUGACGUGCAAAUCGUUACCGCCUGACCUGAGUAUAGGGGCGAAAGACUCAUCGAACCAUCUAGUAGCUGGUUCCCUCCGAAGUUUCCCUUAGGAUAGCUCGAAUUAUUUACAUAUAUAAGAUGUGAGUAACACAUCAAGGGUAAAGCAAUGAGACGCGGUAUCUGUGGGUCUUAUUUAUAAAUGACCUCGGCCUUCUCUCAAACUUUAAAUCUGUGCGUACGUACCGUGUAAUAUUAUCUAUUAUACACGUGUCGUAAUAUCAAUUAAUUCGUAGUGGGCCAUUUCUGGUAAGCAGAACUGGCGAUGAGGGAUUCAACCUGACGUUCUAAAGAUAAGCCGGGCUUAAUCAUAUCUGUUCCGACCUUCCGAUAAACGCGA
rnacentral:rRNA from 1 species